GCAGUUCCGGUCCUCCCGCUGCCCUCCCGGCCCUCCUGGCCCUGCCCGGAGCGGUGUCGGGGCGCUGUUUGUCACCUUCUGAGGGUCCCCGCGGCUUCUCGGUGCUGCUCUGCGGCCUUUUGGAGCCUUUUUCAGCACCGCUACCGCAUUAAAAGUCGAUUUAAUGAACCCUUAAGGGCCUGUAAAUUGCUUGUUUUCUGGUGGCUGCUUCCCCACAGCUGGAUUGGAGCAUGGAGCCCAUCUCCCUGCCAGAGCCAGGCAUUCCUGCAGGAAACAGCUCAUCUGUGGCACAGGAAAAGUUCCACGUGCUGCUGGGAGUGACUGGAAGCGUGGCUGCCCUCAAGCUGCCCCUGCUGGUGGCAGAAUUGCUGAAAAUCCCUGCGCUCGAGGUGAAGGUGGUCACUACUGAGAGAGCAAAACAUUUCUACAAUGCCCAGGAGAUUCCUGUGGCCCUCUAUGGUGAUGAAGAGGAGUGGCAGCUGUGGAAGGGCCGCUCAGACCCCGUCCUGCACAUCGAGCUCCGGCGCUGGGCUGACCUCAUGGUGGUGGCACCUCUGGAUGCCAACACGCUGGCAAAGGUCGCCAAUGGCAUCUGUGACAACCUGCUGACGUGUGUGAUCCGCGCGUGGGACCUGAGCAAGCCCCUGCUCUUCUGCCCAGCCAUGAACACGGCCAUGUGGGAGCACCCCAUCACUGCUCGCCACGUGGAGCAGCUCAAGGCCUUUGGCUACACGGAGAUCCCCUGUGUGGUGAAGAAACUGGUGUGUGGAGAUGAAGCUCAGCUGUCUCAGCUGUGAGAGCAAACUCCUGAAGGAGCUUGGAGGAGAGGGAUGCAGGCAUGGCAGGAGCAGCCUCAUCUGACUGGACUCCACUUGUGCUCGCCGAGGUGCCAUGGCAGAAGUGUGGACCAUCGUGGAAAGAGUUAAAAAGAUCCUUGAAGAACGGGAUGUGCCAAGGCAGAGCUGAUGUUUUGGCAUGUAAAUGGUGGUUUUGUGCCUUCCUGAUGGUUUGGAGAUAAAGCCAGCAGGAAGCUGGGCUCAGCUGCCCUGGUACCAUGGCGUGCAUACCUUGAGCUGCUCUCCAACAGAAGGAGCCAACGGUUCUCUUCCAGCUGGUGCCAAACUGAACUGUGGUACUCACCACAGACUUUCAAAAACCAGAGCCAAGAAUGUGCUGCUUUAGUGUGGAAAACCCUGUGGUGUUUUGGGAGUAACUGCUCCUGAGGCUGCUCAGCCCCCAGUGCUUCACACCUGCUCUGUUCUGGGCAGGCUGCAGAAGGUGUUUGAGCUCCUGUGGUUCUAAAGAGGAAAAGGCCCUGCAAAUUCUGGUGCAGGGUCAUUGCAGUCCCUUCUAGCAAGUGUCUCCUGGACCAUUCCUGCUCUCCAAAGCUUGGUCCAUAGCUGUGCUGGCUGCAUGUUCCUCCCAGCAGGAGUCACUGUCCAAACAGAUUUUCCCUCUGGGAACUUAAUAAAAAAGAGUUUUUAAUCCUUCCCCUGA